GCGGUCAUAUCCUGUAUAGUCUUACCAGUAUAUGGUCAUAAUGGUGUAAUAGUCGUGCGUAAUAGCCCAGAACCGCACUUCUUUGCCUAUUAUGCAAGGCUCGAUGUGCCUAGCAGGCAGAAUGAUUUUCGUUAUUUUCAGUUAUAUCUUUCCAGAUUGGUUCUUUUUUAACAAUAAUCUAUUAUAUUAGGAACGUCAAUUACUGAGUUAGGUUAAGUUAGGUUUAAUCCAAUUUGUUAGUUUUAAUUCAAAUAACAUAAAAUUGCAAUCAUAUAAUACAAUGAAAACUAUCAUUGCCUAAGAACAAAAUUGAAUAAAUUUAAUGUUUCCCGAAAAUUCGGCUUGUUAGGCAAGUCUGGCUAUUAUGUGCGACAUAAUCACCGCCAAACUACCGGCGAGAGCGGCCUUGUCUCCUCUCAUCUUAACGCUAAAAAUAGUUAGAAGUGAGAGCCGCACCUGCCUCAAUCCCCCUCUCACAGCCCAGAAACCCGGCCAUAUUCCCACCACCAUAACUUGUGUUUGAGUGAAGUGCCAGCCAGAACACCUUGACAGGACGGGCCACGUGCUCCUGGGUUUGAUUGAUUGAUAAAGAUUAAGCCACCCAAGAGGUGGCACGGGCAUGAAUAGCCCGUAAAGGCUCAUGGGGUUUGUAUCAUAGGGCCAUAUAUCAGCGGUGGGCCCAUGGUGUUCUGGUCUCUGGGGCUGACAUUGUGUUCUGACGGCCCUAGCGACGGUAAUUUGUAUGAAAUUACAACUUGAAACUUAUGAAGUACUGGCCAAAGAUAUGUCAAAAUUAUGUUCUCUGCAAAAGCUAUUGACUAAAUAUCCUGAACAUUUAAGUCAUACACAGACCUCUGGUUGGGAAUCGCUGAUCUAGACUUUUACCUCCGUGCAUCUCCCAAGCCCAUUCACACAGCUGACCACCCCAUUUACCUCCAAUCUGUUAGCCAGCAAGUCACUCCAGUUAUCCACUGUCCCACCACCAAACCAGCACCUCCCCAAGCCAGUAAGUCACUCCAGUUAUCCACUGUCGCACCACCAAACCAGCACCUCCCCAUAUUCCCCUCCAAACUUCUCCAGCCCACAGUUUCACUGCCGACACCCAUCGUCCACUUUAAAACCCACAUCACGUCUUCCCUCGUUCUGCACAUCUCCAUGUAUGGGCAGUCUCUAAUACCUGUGAUUAGACUAGUCAUCCUACAUUGAAUUUUCUUGGUGGAACUGGUGUCUUCUAUAUAAUAUGGGGACCAGAAUUAUACAGUACUGUACAGCAUUCUGGAUGACAUUUAUAUAGUUACAGUACAGUGGCACCUCGACUUACGAUUGCCCCGACUUAUGAUAAUUUCGAGUUACGAUGUAAAUUUCAUAGAAAAAUGCGACUCGACGUACGAUAGUGUC